rnacentral:sRNA from 1 species
AACUGUGUGUUAAAUUAAGUUGAAAGGCCGGGUAAAACCCGGCCUUUUUAUUUUAAGAGAGAG